AGUAGGCUGGGCUCACAGCUGCAGCCCAGUUUUGGGCUAACCGGGAAUAGGGGCUUGAGAAGGCCCGGAGGCGAAGUCAAAGAGAAGCACCUGCGCCCCGGUGAAGAGACGCUCGCCCAUCAUCGGCUGGGAGGCAGCUUUCAGUAAGAUGGCAGGGCCAGAACUGUUGUUCGACUCCAACACCUGCCUUUGGAUGGUCCUACCCAUCGUUAUCACUUUCUUCGUAGGCAUGAUCCGCCACUACGUGUCCAUCCUACUGCAGAGUGACAAGAAGCUCACCCAGAAACAAGUAUAUGACAGGGGAUAAGACACCCAUAGUCCCUCUCCCAUAAGCCUGCCAUAAGAUUGAUGUGGCCCGUAUAACCUUUGACCUGUACAAGCUGAACCCACAGGACUUCAUUGGCUGCCUGAACGUGAAGGUGAUUUUUUAUGAUACGUACUCCCUUUCCUAAGAUCUCCACUGCUGUGGGGCCAAACGCAUCGUGAAGUAA